CUACGGGUCGCACCAGUGGGGAAUAUUGCACAAUGGGCGCAAGCCUGAUGCAGCCAUGCCGCGUGUAUGAAGAAGGCCUUCGGGUUGUAAAGUACUUUCAGCGGGGAGGAAGGGAGUAAAGUUAAUACCUUUGCUCAUUGACGUUACCCGCAGAAGAAGCACCGGCUAACUCCGUGCCAGCAGCCGCGGUAAUGCGGAGGGUGCAAGCGUUAAUCGGAAUUACUGGGCGUAAAGCGCACGCAGGCGGUUUGUUAAGUCAGAUGUGAAAUCCCCGGGCUCAACCUGGGAACUGCAUCUGAUACUGGCAAGCUGGAGUCUCGUAGAGGGGGGUAGAAUUCCAGGUGUAGCGGUGAAAUGCGUAGAGAUCUGGAGGAAUACCGGUGGCGAAGGCGGCCCCCUGGACGAAGACUGACGCUCAGGUGCGAAAGCGUGGGGAGCAAACAGGAUUAGAUACCCGAGUAGUC
rnacentral:rRNA from 1 species